UCAUCCAGAGCCACUUCACAAGCAUCUUUUUGAAGAGGAUAUGGGGAUAUUGAGGUAUUGGUGCCUCCUGUGGUAAACCUGCUGCAUUUUGUUCUGAGAGGAAUAACUACCUGUUUUUUUUGUUCAAAAUCCUUACAUCUGUACAGGAUUCUAGUAGUGCCACUAAAUGCACAGCUCCCAGUAUCGUUCCUCUGCAGAGGGAUCAUCGGGCAAGGACAG